GGGAGGUAGUGACAAUAAAUACUGAUACAGGGCUCUUUUGGGUCUUGUAAUUGGAAUGAGUACAAUUUAAACCUCUUAACGAGGAACAAUUGGAGGGCAAGUCUGGUGCCAGCAGCCGCGGUAAUUCCAGCUCCAAUAGCGUAUAUUAAAGUUGUUGCAGUUAAAAAGCUCGUAGUUGAAACUUGGGCCUGGCUGGCAGGUCCGCCUCACCGCGUGUACUUGUCCGGCCGGGCCUUUCCUUCUGGAGAACCUCAUGCCCUUCACUGGGUGUGCUGGGGAACCAGGACUUUUACUUUGAAAAAAUUAGAGUGUUCAAAGCAGGC
rnacentral:rRNA from 1 species